AGCAGGAAGAAACCCCAGGAGGAAGAAACCUCAGACAGAUCGCCGGGGAGGCAGCGCGGGAUCCCAGCCUCAGGCGUGCGCGGACGGUGUGCGGCUUUGUACCAGGCUGCAGUGCAGUAGUGCCAUCUCAGCUCACUGCAACCUCUGCCUCCUGGGUUCAAGCGAUUGUCCUGCCUCAGCCUCCCGAGUAGCUGGGAUUACAGGCACAUGCCACCACACCCAGCUAAUGUUUGUAUUUUUAGUAGAUACGGGGUUUCAUCAUGUUGCCCAGGAUGGUCUUAAUUUCCUGACCUCGUGAUCCGCCCAUCUCGGCCUCCCAAAAUGCUGGGAUUACAGGCAUGAGCCACCAGAACCGGACAUGCUUUCCUUAAAAGCUAAAUAUUUUAGGCUUGUGUGCCAUUAGGCUCUGUUACAACUACUUAAUUCUGCUUUUGUAAUUCUAUAGCACCCAUUGAUAAUACAUAAACAAAUGAGCAUGAAUGUGUCUCAGUAAAAAUUUGUUCACAUAAACAGGCAGUCCACCCAUGAAGCUAUAGCUUGCUGACCCCUUGUUUAAACAAUCAAUUGAAUUCAAACAGAAAUAAAAGGAUCUUAUAUAUUUAACCAUGUUGAUACCAUUUCCAGUGCUUUUCAUUCUUCUAUGUAGAUCCAAAUUUCCUUUUGAUAUUAUUUUACUUCUGCCUGAAACUUUUUCUUUAACAUUUUUUAUAGUGUUGUUUUACUGGUGAUGAUUUCUUUCAGGUUCUAAGUGCCUGAAAAAAUCUUUAUUUCACCUACAUCCUGAAAGAUAGUUUCUCUGAGUCUACAAUUCCCAGCUGACAAUGUUUAUCUUCCAGUACUUUAAAGAUGUUGCUUCAUUAUCUUCUAAUUUUCUUUGUUUCUAAUAAAAUGUUUGCUGG
rnacentral:lncRNA from 1 species